rnacentral:ncRNA from 1 species
UACCUGGUUGAUCCUGCCAGUAGUCAUAUGCUUGUCUCAAAGAUUAAGCCCUGCAAGUCUAAGUACCAGCUCUCGUACAGUGAAACUGCGAAUGGCUCAUUAAAUCAGUUAUGGUUCAUUUGAUCGUACAGUUUACUUGGAUAACUGUGGUAAUUCUAGAGCUAAUACAUGCGAGAAGCGCCGACCUCGCGGGAGGCGUGCAUUUAUCAGACCAAAAACCGGCCGCGUCUUCGGGCGCGUUCGCCUUGGUGACUCUGGAUAACUUUGCGGAUCGCACGGUCUAGCACCGGCGACGGAUCAUUCAAGUGUCUGCCCUAUCAACUUUCGUCGGUACGGUAUUUGCCUACCGAGGUUCUUACGGGUGACGGGGAAUCAGGGUUCGAUUCCGGAGAGGGAGCCUGAGAAACGGCUACCACAUCCAAGGAAGGCAGCAGGCGCGCAAAUUACCCAUUCCCGACGCGGGGAGGUAGUGACGAAAAAUAACAAUGCAGGACUCGUUCGAGGCCCUGUAAUUGGAAUGAGUACACUUUAAAAGCUUUAACGAGUAUCCAUUGGAGGGCAAGUCUGGUGCC